rnacentral:rRNA from 1 species
GGGGAAUCUUGCACAAUGGGGGAAACCCUGAUGCAGCGAUGCCGCGUGAGUGAAGAAGGCCUUUGGGUUGUAAAACUCUUUCGUCGGGGAAGAAAAUGACUGUACCCGAAUAAGAAGGUCCGGCUAACUUCGUGCCAGCAGCCGCGGUAAUACGAAGGGACCUAGCGUAGUUCGGAAUUACUGGGCUUAAAGAGCUCGUAGGUGGUUAAAAAAGUUGAUGGUGAAAUCCCAAGGCUCAACCUUGGAACUGCCAUCAAAACUUUUUAGCUAGAGUGUGAUAGAGGUAAGUGGAAUUUCUAGUGUAGAGGUGAAAUUCGUAGAUAUUAGAAAGAACACCAAAUGCGAAGGCAACUUACUGGGUCACUACUGACACUGAGGAGCGAAAGCAUGGGUAGCGAAGAGG